rnacentral:lncRNA from 1 species
CCGCCGCCUCUGCCGGAGCCCCCGUUGGCCGGUCUUUUCCGCUGGGUGUUCCUGCCCAGGUUGGUAGGGAAUGUCCGUUGGCUGUUGGCCUGCUCUAGCGCUCUCCAAAGCAAUUCUCUCGUCUGCAGGCUCCUGCUCCCCUGGGUGUGGCCCACAGUCGCCUAGACCAGGUGAUCGCUCGGCUCCACCCUUCCCCUCUCAUUUCAGCCGCGGACCAGGAAGCUUCUUACCAGCGGGGUCUGGCCGCGGCCAACCAGUGGCUCCUUGGGGCCUUAGCCUCUUCUACAGUGUCUCGCCAGGAUGGUGCCGCCACUGAGUUCUUGAGUUGGCUUUCCAGCCAUGGCCGUGGUCGGAACUGGUGGACUUGUACAUCCGACGAUGUGCUUGUUUACAUGACGGCUUGGUGGUUGCCUCGACAUCAGGGCCGAGGUGGUGGCCCCGCUGGGCCUGCGGCUGUGAAGUCCCACCUGUCCACCUUGAGCGGUUUCUUCAGCCGUGUGGGCCGGGGUGGUCGUUUCGAUGUCUCUACAGGCCAAGGCAACCCUUGUGAUUGCAUCUGGGUCGAGGAUUUCCGCGCGUCCUAUCAGCGGUCCCAGGUCGCCACGGGUUACACCGAGGUUUCGGCCGUACCCUUGUCAUACAGCAAGUACCGUGCCCUCGUGCAGUACCUGUGGUCGCAGGUGGCGGUGACUGAUGAAGCUUUGCCUCGAUUGGUCUUCCUGCGGGACCUGCUGUGUGUGCUUCUCCUGUGGCAGACUGCCCAGAGGGGUCACGAUAUCGGGAAGCUGGGGGUGGGCGACUUCAUCGAACCUUCCCAGCCCCACCGACCAUACUCUGGGUUCCCAUUACCUCCGCCAUGGUUCUGGGGCCCUGGUAUGGGCCCUAUCCUCUGCUUCCGCCAGCGGGGGACUAAGACCUACCGGCUGGUGCAUGCCCCCCCGGUGCUGCUGCAGCCCAACAGUUUGGAGCCCGCCUUUUGCAUCCCGCGGAUGCUGGCCUUGUACAUGUGGUCCUGUGCCCAGCCUGGUGCCCCUCCUGGGAGUGCCGUCCAGGACACGCUGUUCCGCCCACUGACGGCGGACCAGCGGGCUUUUAAGGUGGAAGUGCUGCAGAGUGCCACUCUCGCCGCGCGGUUAUGGCUACACCUGCGGGCUGCCCAGUUGUACACCAGGGAAACGGUGCAUGGUUUCCGCCGUGGUGCCCUGCAGGCCGUGCGUCAGCCGGUGCGGGGGUUCCUGCCCUGAUGGAGUUCAGCCAGCUCCGGACUCUGGCGGUGCUGGAGCGUUACCUGGAUCCCCAUCGUCAUGACCACAAUGUGCAGCCCUGCAACUGAGUGUCUGCUUCGCAUCUUAGCGGUUUUUCGACUGCUAGGCGAUUUACUUUAGUCACCGAAGGUCUCUGGGCUUUACCCCUAGGGUGACUGGCUGUGUGGUCUUGUCGCUCGCCCCACCCCAAACUACACAAGGGGGGGACGGGAGGGGUGUAGUUUGGCUGGCUCCUGGUUGUCUCUACCCGCUACCAUAGCGAAGAGACGUUAAAAUGGUAAUGAGAGAGAGAACUGAUUUGCACGGAUGCUCGGUAUGUUGGAGCUCUCUUGCUGUCAUACCACCGUUGUUGCAAGCAUUUAAGUCUCUGUAAGUGCUUGAAUGUAAAUGCUCGUCGCUCCGUACUGGACUAGCAUGAAGUGGGCCUUUGCAUCUAGCCUUACACCCGAUGCCAAUGUUUAAUCAGGCCACACCACAUCCCAGCCACACCGCCUUGCGGCUCGUCUG